rnacentral:rRNA from 1 species
CAGUCGCCGCGGGAAAACGGAGGGGGCUAGCGUUGUUCAGAAUUACUGGGCGUAAGGCGCACGUAGGCGGCUUGGUAAGUUAGAGGUGAAAGCCCGGAGCUCAACUCCGGAAUUGCCUUUAAGACUGCCGAGCUAGUAGGCGGGAGAGGUGAGUGGAAUUCCGAGUGCAGAGGUGAAAUUCGUAGAUAUUCGGAAGAACACCAGUGGCGAAGGCAGGUCUCUGGGCAUUAACUGACGCUGAGGAGCGAAAGCAUGGGGAGCGAACAGGAUUAGAUACCCGUGUAGUCCCUGUCUCUUAUAC